AUUGAACGCUGGCGGCAGGCCAACACAUGCAAGUCGAGCGAGCGGCGGACGGGUGAGUAAUGUAUGGGGACCUGCCCGAUAGAGGGGGAUAACUACUGGAAACGGUGCUAUACCGCAUACUAUCGGAUGAAACCAGAUGGGAAUAGCUAGUUGGUGGGGUAAAGGCUCACCAAGGCAACGAUCCGUAGCUGGUUUGGGAGGACGACCCGCGACACUGGGACUGAGACACGGCCCAGACUCCUACGGGAGGCAGCAGUGGGGAAUUUUGGACAAUGGGGGAAACCCUGAUCCAGCCAUCCCGCGGGUAUGAUGAAGGCUUCGGGUUGUAAAGGACUUUUGGCAGUGAAGCGGUAUCUGCAGAAUAAGCACCGGCUAACUACGUGCCAGCCGCCGCGGUAAUAC
rnacentral:rRNA from 1 species